AUAGUGACGCAUGUUAAUUUGCAAUUCUGGGAGAUGCAGUCUAAAAUAACAACUACUCCAACCUCUGAAAAGCAGUGGUAACAAUACUAAUGCUCCUCCACCCAGUACAGAUCUUGCUGUCCUUCCUAACCUAUGAGGCCUGAGAUGCUUGCACAUCUUCUCCACCUCUCUGUGCCACCGCCUAAAUGACAACCAAGCCCCCACCCCCUGUGCCCAACCCAGGCAAAAAGGCUCCUUCCCCAAAAGGAUUACUAUGAGGCCGGCUACCACCAAUGAGGAAUCCUUGGCUAAGCAACCUGAUCCAUUCAACUGGAGAGUGGACUGUUCACCAGAAGCAACAACUUUGGCUCCAUGAUAAGAUGUCAGGAUCACCCACACUGAAAGCAAAGACAAGUAUUUAUGGGCAUUUGAGGUCAAUGGAAGACAGGAUCUUAGUAGAGACUUGUGAAUAGUCUGCUACAGUCUAUUUUUGAUCACUGUAGUCCUCCCAAAAUUGGAAAGUUCCUUA